rnacentral:rRNA from 1 species
GGGGAAUAUUGCACAAUGGGCGAAAGCCUGAUGCAGCGACGCCGCGUGAGGGAUGACGGCCUUCGGGUUGUAAACCUCUUUCGCUCAUGGUCAAGCCGCAACAAUGGUUGUGGUGAGGGUAGUGGGUAAAGAAGCGCCGGCUAACUACGUGCCAGCAGCCGCGGUAAUACGUAGGGCGCGAGCGUUGUCCGGAAUUAUUGGGCGUAAAGGGCUUGUAGGCGGUUGGUCGCGUCUGCCGUGAAAUCCUCUGGCUUAACUGGGGGCGUGCGGUGGGUACGGGCUGACUUGAGUGCGGUAGGGGAGACUGGAACUCCUGGUGUAGCGGUGGAAUGCGCAGAUAUCAGGAAGAACACCGGUGGCGAAGGCGGGUCUCUGGGCCGUUACUGACGCUGAGGAGCGAAAGCGUGGGGAGCGAACAGGAUUAGAUACCCUGGUAGUCCACGCUGUAAACGUUGGGCACUAGGUGUGGGGGCCACCCGUGGUUUCUGCGCCGUAGCUAACGCUUUAAGUGCCCCGCCUGGGGAGUACGGCCGCAAGGCUA